GACGAACGCUGGCGGCGUGCUUAACACAUGCAAGUCGAACGGAAAGGCCCUGCUUUUGUGGGGUGCUCGAGUGGCGAACGGGUGAGAAACACGGGAGUAACCUGCCCUUGACUUUGGGAUAACUUCAGGAAACUGGGGCUAAUACCGGAUAGGAGCUCCUGCUGCAUGGUGGGGGUUGGAAAGUUUCGGCGGUUGGGGAUGGACUCUCGGCUUAUCAGCUUGUUGGUGGGGUAGUGGCUUACCAAGGCUUUGACGGGUAGCCGGCCUGGGAGGGUGACCGGCCACAUUGGGCCUGAGAUACGGCGCAGACUGCUAUGGGAGGCAGAAGUGGGGAAUAUUGCACAAUGGGCGGAAGCCUGAUGCAGCAACGCCGCGUGCGGGAUGAAGGCCUUCGGGUUGUAAACCGCUUUCGCCUGUGACGAAGCGUGAGUGACGGUAAUGGGUAAAGAAGCACCGGCUAACUACGUG
rnacentral:rRNA from 1 species